rnacentral:lncRNA from 1 species
AUUCUUCUCCUUCCUGUCACCAUGUGAAAGAUAUGCUUGUUUCCUCUUCUGCCGUGAUUGCUUAUAAACAGAAGGGACUUGCCUUGUCUCAGAUGAGACUUUGGACUUAGACUUUUGGGUAAUGCUGCAAUGAGCUAAGACCUGCGCUGAUGGAAAGACUGAAGUACAGUGACACGAUCUUGGCUCACUGCAACCUCUGCUUCCUGGGUUCGAGCGAUUCUCCGGCCUCAGUCUCCCAAGCAGCUGAAACUACAGAUGCAGAUAAGAAACGUGGGAAGCCACAAGAAAGCCAAGUAGCCUGGGAAAAAGUGGUCAUUGAGCCAUGAGAAAAAAUUAACAUUUGAUCCUGUUGGUGCCACCUGAAGGCAGAGAUGGCUGAGGACCCCCGAGUGAAAAGGGACACACUGCAAUCCUGGAGGAGCCGCUCUGUGGAUGCAUAUGAAAAAUGGAAUCAUAGAUGCGCAAGGGAUUGAAUGGCGAACACAGAUGUGGCCCACAAAGAUCCUUAACAACUGCUGGGUGUACUGCCAGCAGACAGCCUUUAGAGAGGAGCCUCUUCAGGAAUUACUUCAGCUAUAGAGACCCACUUUUUCCAAGAUCAUGUCUUUCCAGGGGUGGUCCACAUUUAGCGACUGAUCUAGGCAAAAGUAAAAAAAGUUCAAGCCCUUUUAUCCCAAAGUGGGGCAACUCUGUUGGGCCAUUUCAGCUUUUAAAUUCCUUGUGGUGUUGGCUGAUGUUAUUGGGUUGGCCUGGCAGCCCUACAUACUCUUCUCCCCAAUCUUGUUUUUUUCCCUUUUCAUUCAUGGCUUUUGAUCUCAAGGCACUUCUUUUUUAAAAAAAUUUUUACCUCAUUUUUUUUGGACAGGGUCUCACUUUGUUGCCCAGGGCAGAGUACUGUAGCACAACCAUAGCUCAUUGCAACCUCCAGUUCCUAAGUCAUCCUCCCACCUAAGCCUCCUGUGUAGCUAGGACUAUAGGUGCAUGCCACCAUGCCCUGCAAAUUUAAAUUUUUUUUUCGUGGAGAAAGGGUCUUGGUAUACUGCUCAGGCUAGUCUCAAAUUCCUUAUCUCAAGUGAUCAUUCCCUCUUAGCCUCCCAAUGAGCCAUUGCACCUGGUCCCAAAGGCACUUCUUAAUAAGCAUCCUGCAUGCUAAACCCUGUCUAUAAAAGUCUUUAAGAAUUGGCUUUCUGUAAACCCCAGCCAGCAAUACAUAACUAUUUUGAAGCCUCCACAGAACUCUUGAGCAUUUGCUACAAACCAGCCAGCAAUCUCCUCCCAUCCAAGUUUUUCAGUGUAUAAACUCCAAUCUCUUCACAAAGUGUCAUCCUGCUCCACAAAGAAGAAUAAACUAGUUAUUGAUUAUGUCUUCUUUGCUUUCUAUACACUCCAAUCAAGCUGUUUCCUCCUUCAUAGUGUGAUGUGAACCCAUAUUGUAGGCUUUUACUCAUGAAAUGACUAUAUUAUUAAAAGAGAGAUUCUCUCAUCUCUAAGCCCUUCCUUAUGAAGAAAUUUGUAAAUAAAUUUAUUAAUGAAUUACCUAUCAUGUUUUUCUUACUCAAAAUAAAUCAGGUGCCCUAUAGCUGCUGAAGCCUUGCUUGCAUCUUAGUAAUAAUAAAGUUGGUGGCUUUAAAAUGAAUUCUAAAAAACUCAAAAUUACAUGUAUUUAUUCUUUUCAUUUCUUAUUCUCAGACUUGAAUUGGCUCACUAUUCAAAGUAUAAGUAAUGUAAACUUUUCAAGAUGAUGCUAUUCAUGAAUUGUCUCUUCUAAGCCCAAAUUACAUAAUUUUCUAGUUUAGAAAAGGCUUUGGUAUAUCUCAUUCCUAUAGCACUCAAGUUUAUCAUCAACUUUAUUGAGGAGAUUUUUAGAUUUUAAAUACUUGAAUUUUGUUUAAAAUAUCAGACACAUGUAAACUUGUCUGACUUUUAAUUUAGCAGGAAAAAAGCUUAAUAUUUCAACAAGACAUUUACCCUGAAGAGAAACAAUAACAUGGAAUAAAAUAAUUAGAACAUCUUUCAUUUAUUAGAAUAGUGAAAAUACAAAAACAAAACAAAACAUAAAAACAACAAUACCAAAUGCUGGUAAGAAUGCUGAAUACAUUCAUUGCUGGUAAGGGUGAAAAUGGUAUAGCCACUUUGGAAAACAGUUUGGUCAGUUUCUUGAAAAAAACUAAACAUAGCCUUACAAGUGGUCCAGCUAUCCCUUUUCUAGUUAUUUACUGAAGUAAGUUGAAAAUUUAGGCUCACCCCAAAAUCUGUACACAGAUGUGUAUAGAUUUAUUCAUAAUCCUCUCAAACUAGAAAUAACAAAAAUGUCCCUCAAAUGGUGAAUUGAUGAACAAAUUGUAUGUAGUAUAUCUAUAUAAUAAAAUAUAAUUCAACAACAAAAAGAUAUGUGCUGUCAAGCCACAUAAAAAAUGUAGAAAUCUAAUAUGCCUAUUGCUUAGUAAAAAAGCCAGUCUGAUAAGGCUACAUACUGUAUGAUUCUAAAUAUAUAGUAUUCUAGAAAAGGCAAAAUUAUAGAGACAAUAAAAUAUUUGUGGUUUCCUGGGAUUGAGGGGAAGAGGAAGAUUGAGCAGGUGCUACACAGGGGCACAUUAGGGCAGUGAAAGUAUUCUGCAUGAUAUUAUAAUGGUGGAUUCAUGACACUAUGCAUUUGUUAAAACCUAUAAAACUGUAACACAAGGAGUGAAGCCAAAUGUAAACUAUGGACUUUGGUUAAUAAUAAUGUAUCAAUAUUGGCUCAUCAAUUAUAACAAAUGUACCACAUUAAUGCAAGAUGUUAAUAAUGAGGAAGACUGUGAGGUGAUAAAGAGGGGAUAUAAGGGAAUUCUCUGUACUGUGUUCUCAAUUAUUGUAAACCUCAAACUUCUGUAAAAAUCCUAUUAAUAAGAUAAAAAGGAAAAUAUGUGUGUGUGUGUGUAUAUAUAUAUAUAUAUAUAAU